UACGUAGGCAGCGAGCGUUGUUCGGAGUUACUGGGCGUAAAGGGUGUGUAGGCGGUCCUCUAAGUUUGGUGUGAAAUCUCCCGGCUCAACCGGGAGGGUGCGCCGAAAACUGGGGGGCUAGAGUGCGGGAUGGGUAAGUGGAAUUCCUGGUGUAGCGGUGAAAUGCGUAGAUAUCGUAAGGAAGACCAGUGGCGAAGGCGGUUCUCUGGGACGGUACUGACGCUGAGGACGCGAAAGCGUGGGGAGCGAACAGG
rnacentral:rRNA from 1 species